CCUACGGGAGGCAGCAGUAGGGAAUCUUCCGCAAUGGACGAAAGUCUGACGAAGCAACGCCGCGUGAACGAUGAAGGCCUUCGGGUCGUAAAGUUCUGUUGUCAGGGAAGAACAAGUACCGGAGUAACUGCCGGUGCCUUGACGGUACCUGACCAGAAAGCCACGGCUAACUACGUGCCAGCAGCCGCGGUAAUACGUAGGUGGCAAGCGUUGUCCGGAAUUAUUGGGCGUAAAGCGCGCGCAGGCGGUCCUUUAAGUCUGAUGUGAAAGCCCACGGCUCAACCGGGGAGGGUCAUUGGAAACUGGGGAACUUGAGUGCAGAAGAGGAGAGCGGAAUUCCACGUGUAGCGGUGAAAUGCGUAGAGAUGUGGAGGAACACCAGUGGCGAAGGCGGCUCUCUGGUCUGUAACUGACGCUGAGGCGCGAAAGCGUGGGGAGCGAACAGGAUUAGAUACCCUGGUAGUCCACGCCGUAAACGAUGAGUGCUAAGUGUUAGAGGGUUUCCGCCCUUUAGUGCUGCAGCAAACGCAUUAAGCACUCCGCCUGGGGAGUACGGCCGCAAGGCUGAAACUCAAAGGAAUUGACGG
rnacentral:rRNA from 1 species